UGAAGCGGCAACAGCUCAAAUUUGAAAUCUGGCCUCGGCCCGAGUUGUAAUUUGCAGAGGAUGUUUCUGGCGCGGUGCCUUCCGAGUUCCCUGGAACGGGACGCCACAGAGGGUGAGAGCCCCGUAUGGUUGGACACUAAGCCUGUGUGAAACUCCUUCGACGAGUCGAGUAGUUUGGGAAUGCUGCUCAAAAUGGGAGGUAAAUCUCUUCUAAAGCUAAAUACCGGCCAGAGACCGAUAGCGCACAAGUAGAGUGAUCGAAAGAUGAAAAGCACCUUGAAAAGGGGGUUAAACAGUACGUGAAAUUGUUGAAAGGGAAGCGCUUGUGACCAGACUUGCGCCGGGCGGCUCAUCCGGGGUUCUCCCCGGUGCACUCCGCCCGGCUCAGGCCAGCAUCGGUUCUCGUUGGGGGAUAAGAACGGCAGGAACGUGGCCCUCCUUCGGGUGGGUGUUAUAGCCUGCCGUACGAUACCCUGACGGGGACCGAGGUUCGCGCUCCGCAAGGAUGCUGGCGUAAUGGUCAUCAGCGACCCGUCUUGAAACACGGACCAAGGAGUCGUCCAUUAGAGCGAGCGUUUGGGUGUCAAACCCGCACGCGUAAUGAAAGUGAAAUUAGGUGAGAGCUUCGGCGCAUCAUCGACCGAUCCUGAUGUUCUCGGAUGGAUUUGAGUAAGAGUUUUAACGGACGGACCCGAAAGACAGUGAACUAUGCUUGUAUAGGGUGAAGCCAGAGGAAACUCUGGUGGAGGCUCGCAGCGGUUCUGACGUGCAAAUCGAUCGUCAAAUAUGAGCAUGGGGGCGAAA
rnacentral:rRNA from 1 species